UUAAAUUGAAGAGUUUGAUCAUGGCUCAGAUUGAACGCUGGCGGCAGGCCUAACACAUGCAAGUCGAACGGGAACAGGAAGAAGCUUGCUUCUUUGCUGACGAGUGGCGGACGGGNGAGUAAUGUCUGGGAAACUGCCUGAUGGAGGGGGNUAACUACUGGAAACGGUAGCUAAUACCGCAUAACGUC
rnacentral:rRNA from 1 species